CCCUUCUCUGUCUCAUAUUUGUACAUCAAGGAAAAGAUACAGUAUUUGGUAUUUAAAACUUACUUUUGUAGAAGGUUGUAGCAGCACACAUUUUUAGAGAAGUAUUCUGCCAGGUCAGGGGAGGAUUUAUUUUCUGAAUGCCUAAUGCAUAUUUAAAAGCUGAUAAUAGUACAUGACAGCACCAAAAAUGUUAUAUAACUUCUAGAAUGUCUAUUAAAAAAGUAGAGCCUUGCCAUUAAAAAAAAAAGUAGAAGCCUGUGAGAUUCCCACCAUCUGGAUGGAGUCUUUUUUCUUCCCAGAUGAAUUAGUUGUCAAGGGAGGAAUUAUUUUAGGCAUCAAGUAACCCCUGAUUGUGAGUGACAGACUAACACAAGAGCAGAUGCAAGGUUACUGCUGCCUAUCCAUUAUGUGGAAAGGAGACCCAUGCAUGUCCUACUUACUGUGCAUACUGACUUGGGUUAUUAAAAGAGUAACUAGAGGUGGGUCAGACCCAGAAGAUAGCUCAUACCACUCACAACAGAUGUUCUUUCACAGGAGAGAAAACAAACACUGGAUACUUUCUGGGGAUACUGUAGAAGGAGGGGACUUCACUACUUUCAACAAGUCACAAGUACAGAUUCCCAACAGAGGCACAAAUCAACUUUUUCAUUCAAAUAACAGUUAUUUGAGACCGUGAUGAAACACGAGAGGACUGUGGACCGUGCCAGUGAGAAUAAAGAAAUAAAAAACAGUGCCAUCUUGUGGUAUGUGGGCUCUAUGUGAAGACAAAAUGCUGCACAGCCAACAG
ensembl:lncRNA